rnacentral:rRNA from 1 species
UACGUAGGUGACAAGCGUUGUCCGGAUUUACUGGGCGUAAAGAGCGCGCAGGCGGUCGUUCAAGUCGAGUGUGAAAGCCCCCGGCUCAACUGGGGAGGGUCAUUCGAUACUGAUCGACUCGAAGGCAGGAGAGGGAAGUGGAAUUCCCGGUGUAGUGGUGAAAUGCGUAGAUAUCAAGCGGAACACCAGUGGCGAAGGCGAGUCCCUGGACAACUCCUGACACUGAGGCACGAAAGCUAGGGGAGCAAACAGG